rnacentral:rRNA from 1 species
ACAUGCAAGUCGAACGAACUCUGGUAUUGAUUGGUGCUUGCAUCAUGAUUUACAUUUGAGUGAGUGGCGAACUGGUGAGUAACACGUGGGAAACCUGCCCAGAAGCGGGGGAUAACACCUGGAAACAGAUGCUAAUACCGCAUAACAACUUGGACCGCAUGGUCCGAGCUUGAAAGAUGGCUUCGGCUAUCACUUUUGGAUGGUCCCGCGGCGUAUUAGCUAGAUGGUGGGGUAACGGCUCACCAUGGCAAUGAUACGUAGCCGACCUGAGAGGGUAAUCGGCCACAUUGGGACUGAGACACGGCCCAAACUCCUACGGGAGGCAGCAGUAGGGAAUCUUCCACAAUGGACGAAAGUCUGAUGGAGCAACGCCGCGUGAGUGAAGAAGGGUUUCGGCUCGUAAAACUCUGUUGUUAAAGAAGAACAUAUCUGAGAGUAACUGUUCAGGUAUUGACGGUAUUUAACCAGAAAGCCACGGCUAACUACGUGCCAGCAGCCGCGGUAAUACGUAGGUGGCAAAGCGUUGUCCGGAUUUAUUGGGCGUAAAGCGAGCGCAGGCGGUUUUUUAAGUCUGAUGUGAAAGCCUUCGGCUCAACCGAAGAAGUGCAUCGGAAACUGGGAAACUUGAGUGCAGAAGAGGACAGUGGAACUCCAUGUGUAGCGGUGAAAUGCGUAGAUAUAUGGAAGAACACCAGUGGCGAAGGCGGCUGUCUGGUCUGUAACUGACGCUGAGGCUCGAAAGUAUGGGUAGCAAACAGGAUUAGAUACCCUGGUAGUCCAUACCGUAAACGAUGAAUGCUAAGUGUUGGAGGGUUUCCGCCCUUCAGUGCUGCAGCUAACGCAUUAAGCAUUCCGCCUGGGGAGUACGGCCGCAAGGCUGAAACUCAAAGGAAUUGACGGGGGCCCGCACAAGCGGUGGAGCAUGUGGUUUAAUUCGAAGCUACGCGAAGAACCUUACCAGGUCUUGACAUACUAUGCAAAUCUAAGAGAUUAGACGUUCCCUUCGGGGACAUGGAUACAGGUGGUGCAUGGUUGUCGUCAGCUCGUGUCGUGAGAUGUUGGGUUAAGUCCCGCAACGAGCGCAACCCUUAUUAUCAGUUGCCAGCAUUAAGUUGGGCACUCUGGUGAGACUGCCGGUGACAAACCGGAGGAAGGUGGGGAUGACGUCAAAUCAUCAUGCCCCUUAUGACCUGGGCUACACACGUGCUACAAUGGAUGGUACAACGAGUUGCGAACUCGCGAGAGUAAGCUAAUCUCUUAAAGCCAUUCUCAGUUCGGAUUGUAGGCUGCAACUCGCCUACAUGAAGUCGGAAUCGCUAGUAAUCGCGGAUCAGCAUGCCGCGGUGAAUACGUUCCCGGGCCUUGUACACACCGCCCGUCACACCAUGAGAGUUUGUAACACCCAAAGUCGGUGGG